AUAAAAUUUUUAUGUUUUGAAGAAUUUAUUUUAAAUUUAUUUUACAUGCAAAUUUUAGUAUGAAAAAUUAAUUAUUUUAAUAAUAAUAAUAAUAUAUGCAGUAAUUUACAUUAAAAAUUUAAGAAAUUAAGAUUUAGUAAUAUUUAAAUUAAUAACUAAUUUUGUGCCAGCAGUUGCGGUUAUACAAAAGUUAAAUUAAAUUUUUAUAGUAAAUAAUAAAUAAAUAAAUAUUUAAAAUAAAUGUUGAAUUAUUAAGUGAAAUUUUAAUUUAAUUAAAUUUUAUAAUAAAUUUAUGAUUUAAUAAAUUUAAUAAUAAACUAGGAUUAGAUACCCUAUUAUUAUAAAUUUAAUUGUAAAUACUAAAAUAGUAGAUAAAAUAUUGAAACUUAAAUAAUAUGGCGGUAUUUUAGUUCAUUUAGAGGAAUCUGUUUAAUAAUUGAUAAUACACGAAUAAAUUUACUUAAUUUAAGAUUUUAUAUAUCGUUGUUAAAAAAAUAUUUUUUUAUAAAAAUAAUAUUUAAAAAUUAAAAAUAAAAAUUAAUUCAAAUCAAGAUGUAGAAUAUAAUUAAGAAUAAAUGGAUUACAAUAAAUUUAUUUAUAUGAAUAAUUAAUUGAAAAAUUAAUUUAAAGGUGGAUUUAAAUGUAAUUUUAUUUAAUUUAAUAAAAUGAUUAAAAAUUGAAAUAUGUACAUAUUGCCCGUCACUUUCAUUUAAAAAUUGGAAUAAGUCGUAACAAAGUAGAGGUACUGGAAAGUGUUUCUAGAAUGAU
rnacentral:ncRNA from 1 species